GACAGAAAUCGACGAACAACUCGAGCAACUUGGCACACAUUUCGAAUCGAAAAAAAUUCCAGAGGCUCGUGACGUCAUCGGACGCUUGACCUACCUGUAUUCGCUCAAAAAUACGGUCAACACGAAAUUGGGUCUAAAUUAGUGGAGAAAAUUUGCCGAUUUUUAGUGAUUUUUAGUGUAAUAAAUAAUUUUUGCAUUGUAAUUUUAUUGAUUUUUAACCGAAAAAUGUACAAUUUUCUUCAAAAAUGUAUUUUUUGAAGGGUUUUAUCGAUUUUUCCAGGAAUUUCGAAAUUUUCAGAUGUCCCAUGAGAUUUUAGAAGUUCCGGUGAACAGUGAGAAGCGAAAAGUUGAGAUUUGCCACGUGACCGGGCGAUUUUUCGCGUCAAAAUCGG
rnacentral:sRNA from 1 species